rnacentral:rRNA from 1 species
AGUAAUAUUAGUAAUUAAUAUGAGAGUAACUAAGGUAAUUAAAAUACUAAGUAGGUAUGUGAUAAUGACAAUAUCUGCUGAGGUCUUGACCAAGUCACGUGCCAGCAGUCGCGGUAAUACGUGGAAGACAAGUGUUAUUCAUCUUUAUUGGGUUUAAAGGGUACCUAGACGGUUAAUUAAGCAAUGAGAUGUACUAAUUAACUAGAGUUUAAUGUAAGAAGGAUUGAGUACGGUGAGUGUAGAGAUAAAAUUCUUUGAUACCACUUAGGAACUGGUAACGGCGAAGGCGACCUUCUAUGUAAAAACUGACGUUAAGGGACGAAGGCUUGUAAUAAAUAACAGGAUUAGAUACCCUAGUAUUGUGAGCAGACAAUGAUGAGUGUCAUAUGCAAGAUAAUAAAAAUAUUUUUUGUGUAUAAAUGAAAGUGUAAGCACUCCACCUCAAGAGUAACGUGGCAACAUGGGAACUGAAAUCAUUAGACCGUUUCUGAAACUCGUAGUGAAGUAUGUUGUUUAAUUUGAUAGCCCUCAAAUAACCUUACCACAAUUUGAAUAACUAACAACUUACAGUGUAUUGCACUGGAGUAUAGUAACAAAAGUUGCACGGCUGUCUUCAGUCAAUGUUGUGAAACUUUGGUUAGAUCCAUUUAAUUGACGUAAACCCUUUCAUUAUUUAUUAUAAUGAAGUUCGCCGCUAUAUUGGUAUUGAUAUAUGGGACUAAAACAAGUCAUCAUGACCUGAACAUUGUGGGCUUAA